rnacentral:rRNA from 1 species
CCGGAGAAUGUUAUCACGGGAGACACACGGCGGGUGCUAACGUCCGUCGUGAAGAGGGAAACAACCCAGACCGCCAGCUAAGGUCCCAAAGUCAUGGUUAAGUGGGAAACGAUGUGGGAAGGCCCAGACAGCCAGGAUGUUGGCUUAGAAGCAGCCAUCAUUUAAAGAAAGCGUAAUAGCUCACUGGUCGAGUCGGCCUGCGCGGAAGAUGUAACGGGGCUAAACCAUGCACCGAAGCUGCGGCAGCGACGCUUAUGCGUUGUUGGGUAGGGGAGCGUUCUGUAAGCCUGCGAAGGUGUGCUGUGAGGCAUGCUGGAGGUAUCAGAAGUGCGAAUGCUGACAUAAGUAACGAUAAAGCGGGUGAAAAGCCCGCUCGCCGGAAGACCAAGGGUUCCUGUCCAACGUUAAUCGGGGCAGGGUGAGUCGACCCCUAAGGCGAGGCCGAAAGGCGUAGUCGAUGGGAAACAGGUUAAUAUUCCUGUACUUGGUGUUACUGCGAAGGGGGGACGGAGAAGGCUAUGUUGGCCGGGCGACGGUUGUCCCGGUUUAAGCGUGUAGGCUGGUUUUCCAGGCAAAUCCGGAAAAUCAAGGCUGAGGCGUGAUGACGAGGCACUACGGUGCUGAAGCAACAAAUGCCCUGCUUCCAGGAAAAGCCUCUAAGCAUCAGGUAACAUCAAAUCGUACCCCAAACCGACACAGGUGGUCAGGUAGAGAAUACCAAGGCGCUUGAGAGAACUCGGGUGAAGGAACUAGGCAAAAUGGUGCCGUAACUUCGGGAGAAGGCACGCUGAUAUGUAGGUGAAGUCCCUUGCGGAUGGAGCUGAAAUCAGUCGAAGAUACCAGCUGGCUGCAACUGUUUAUUAAAAACACAGCACUGUGCAAACACGAAAGUGGACGUAUACGGUGUGACGCCUGCCCGGUGCCGGAAGGUUAAUUGAUGGGGUCAGCGCAAGCGAAGCUCUUGAUCGAAGCCCCGGUAAACGGCGGCCGUAACUAUAACGGUCCUAAGGUAGCGAAAUUCCUUGUCGGGUAAGUUCCGACCUGCACGAAUGGCGUAAUGAUGGCCAGGCUGUCUCCACCCGAGACUCAGUGAAAUUGAACUCGCUGUGAAGAUGCAGUGUACCCGCGGCAAGACGGAAAGACCCCGUGAACCUUUACUAUAGCUUGACACUGAACAUUGAGCCUUGAUGUGUAGGAUAGGUGGGAGGCUUUGAAGUGUGGACGCCAGUCUGCAUGGAGCCGGCCUUGAAAUACCACCCUUUAAUGUUUGAUGUUCUAACGUGGACCCGUGAUCCGGGUUGCGGACAGUGUCUGGUGGGUAGUUUGACUGGGGCGGUCUCCUCCUAAAGAGUAACGGAGGAGCACGAAGGUUGGCUAAUCCUGGUCGGACAUCAGGAGGUUAGUGCAAUGGCAUAAGCCAGCUUGACUGCGAGCGUGACGGCGCGAGCAGGUGCGAAAGCAGGUCAUAGUGAUCCGGUGGUUCUGAAUGGAAGGGCCAUCGCUCAACGGAUAAAAGGUACUCCGGGGAUAACAGGCUGAUACCGCCCAAGAGUUCAUAUCGACGGCGGUGUUUGGCACCUCGAUGUCGGCUCAUCACAUCCUGGGGCUGAAGUAGGUCCCAAGGGUAUGGCUGUUCGCCAUUUAAAGUGGUACGCGAGCUGGGUUUAGAACGUCGUGAGACAGUUCGGUCCCUAUCUGCCGUGGGCGCUGGAGAACUGAGGGGGGCUGCUCCUAGUACGAGAGGACCGGAGUGGACGCAUCACUGGUGUUCGGGUUGUCAUGCCAAUGGCACUGCCCGGUAGCUAAAUGCGGAAGAGAUAAGUGCUGAAAGCAUCUAAGCACGAAACUUGCCCCGAGAUGAGUUCUCCCUGACCCUUUAAGGGUCCUGAAGGAACGUUGAAGACGACGACGUUGAUAGGCCGGGUGUGUAAGCGCAGCGAUGCGUUGAGCUAACCGGUACUAAUGAACCGUGAGG